GCAGGCCUGGACCUCCCAACACCACAGGUGUGGCCACUCUACUGCACCUGUAACAUCAGGGCAAAGAGCAAGUGGCAUUUCCACUCUGGGUGUUCAGAAGCCAGUGAGCGCUAAGAAUGGUUUAUAGCGUGACAUUU
rnacentral:snoRNA from 1 species